GCGGACCGACUCUUCUCUCUCUCGCCAUUCACCUCACGCCAGCUUCAUCCCUUCGGUCUUCUGCUCUGGCUUUCAUUUUCUUUUCCCUACUCGAUCGUUUCCCUUGGGCCAGAACCGCCUCUGCCCUUCUUCCUUUUGUUUCUUCAUCUUCGGCCGUUGAUGUCCACCAGCGAAGCCACCAGUCAACGUCCGCUUCUUCCCUUGUGAUUCUCCACCGAACGCCUGUUGCUUCUCCAUUGGAUCGGCGCCAGCAACUGCUUCUCUCGGUCAAAAACCCAGCGAAGCCAAUCUACCAAAGUUGACUCCAGCGUUUCUUCAUCUUGCCAGCGUCACCAGCUCGCCACCUGCCAUCCCAUCAGCCAGCAACGAAACCACCGCCAGUCUUGCUUCCUUCGUGUCUUCAACUUGGCCGCUCAAAAUCAACCGAAGAAGCCCCGUUCUCCACCAUUGUUGACUCCUUCGAACAGCCCAUGUUCCACCGAGUUCCCCAGCUGAAGACACGUCCAACGAUUGCUGCUCCUUAGUCAACCAUCAACUCUUGAAGCCCCUUGUUUGACUGCAUGCAACCCAUGCCCACACGGCCACUCGUCCAGCAGCUUCGGCCACGUCCGCACAGCCCCCGAACUCCCACCCAGCAGCGACAAAACACUGCAGCUCCCACGUUUGGUCAACAAAGCGGUGGAGCUCUCGCCAUCUUGUUGACCUCAAAGCCACGCGGCCUUUAACGCCGAACGUCGAUCUCUCCACCCAGCUGCCCGAAUUUUGCUGGUCUUCUUCAACCGGAGUUCCUCACGCCUGGUCAACAGCGAAGCCUGCAGCAGUUCAGUUCAGCCCGCUCCGUUUCCUUCGCUGUUUCCUCGAGCCCAGCAGCAACGCUCGAUCAGCCCAGUGUUUGGCCCAUUUCGGCCCAGCAGUCCAACUCAGCUCCGUUCAGCCCAUCAGCCUGCAAAAAUUUCAGAAGCCCAGUCCGAUUCAACCCACAUCUUGUCCAUUUGAAGCCCAGCCCGUGAGCAAGAAGUCUGCAGCAAUUCGGCCCAAGUGAACCUCAGUCCAGCAGCCCAUUUUUUGAGGCCUUAGCCCAUCAACCAAGCCCAGAAGUUUCUGUGGGCUUGCAAGGUUUCUUGGCCCG
rnacentral:lncRNA from 1 species